GAUUGUGCAGCCUUUAUUGGACAUUGAUCUUUCAGCAAAGUGCAGUUACAUUUUCCAUUAAUUUACAGUAACACAGUUUAACUCUGAUACCCUAGACUGUUGACCCAGGUGAGAUGUAAUGCUAAGUACUGGUUUAGGUUAAGAUGCCCCAAACAUCAUUACUGUCUGAAUGCUAAGUGCUGAGAAAAAGAAGAUACCCAAUCCACUAGCUUUAGGAUAAGGUUUCUGUUACCUGUAUUAGCUUUUAAAUGAAAUGAAAUCCAGAUCCUUGUCUUUAGUAGGUCACUCCAUUCAUUCAAAUGACAUUCAUUCUUUAAUGGAAUUAAAAGACAUUACUUCAAGAAAAUUAUAGAUGUUUUGUGAUUAUAGUUUUGUGUGAAUAUAAGUGACACAAGAUAAAAUGUAUAUUUUAAAAGAAAUAUAUAUGGCUUUUAAUAAUUAAAAAUGUUUCCAUUUCUACUGAAGCCAACAAUAA
rnacentral:lncRNA from 1 species